rnacentral:rRNA from 1 species
AGUGAACGCUGGCGGUAGGCCUAACACAUGCAAGUCGAACGGCAGCACAGUAAGAGCUUGCUCUUACGGGUGGCGAGUGGCGGACGGGUGAGGAAUACAUCGGAAUCUACUUUUUCGUGGGGGAUAACGUAGGGAAACUUACGCUAAUACCGCAUACGACCUACGGGUGAAAGCAGGGGAUCUUCGGACCUUGCGCGAUUGAAUGAGCCGAUGUCGGAUUAGCUAGUUGGCGGGGUAAAGGCCCACCAAGGCGACGAUCCGUAGCUGGUCUGAGAGGAUGAUCGGCCACACUGGACCUGAGACACGGUCCAGCCUCCUACGGGAGGCAGCAGUGGGGAAUAUUGGACAAUGGGCGCAAGCCUGAUCCAGCCAUACCGCGUGGGUGAAGAAGGCCUUCGGGUUUUAAAGCCCUUUUGUUGGGAAAGAAAAGCAGCAGGUUAAUACCCCGCUGUUCUGACGGUACCCAAAGAAUAAGCACCGGCUAACUUCGUG